CAUGCGAGUCAUAUGUUCUUCGUGAACAUGGCGUACUGCUCAGUAACACGUGGAUAACCUGCCCUUGGGUCCGGCAUAACCCCGGGAAACUGGGGAUAAUUCCGGAUAACGCACAUAUGCUGGAAUGCUUUAUACGUCAAAUGGAUUCGUCUGCCCAAGGAUGGGUCUGCGGCCUAUCAGGUAGUAGUGGGUGUAAUGUACCUACUAGCCGACGACGGGUACGGGUUGUGAGAGCAAGAGCCCGGAGAUGGAUUCUGAGACAUGAAUCCAGG
rnacentral:rRNA from 1 species